rnacentral:rRNA from 1 species
UACGGGGGGGGCAAGCGUUGUUCGGAAUUACUGGGCGUAAAGGGCUCGUAGGCGGCCAACUAAGUCGGACGUGAAAUCCCUCAGCUUAACUGGGGAACUGCGUCUGAUACUGGAUGGCUUGGAUUCGGGAGAGGGAUGCGGAAUUCCAGGUGUAGCGGUGAAAUGCGUAGAUAUCUGGAGGAACACCGGUGGCGAAGGCGGCGUUCUGGACUGUUUCUGACACUGAAUAACGAAAGCCAGGGGAGCAAACGGG